rnacentral:snRNA from 1 species
AGCUUUGCGCAGUGGCAGUAUCGUAGCCAAAGAGGUUUAUCUGAGGUGCGAUUAUUGCUAAUCAAAAACUUUUCCCAAUACCCUGCCAUGACGACUUGAAAUAUAGUCAGCAUUGGCAAUUUUUGAAAAUUAUAAAAAAAA